GGACUCUUUUUGGACUCUCCCUCUGGAUACAUCUUGCAGUCCUCACCGUCAGACAGAAGAUUUGGCCAUCGGAAGCCUGCCGCUGUGCCACUCGAGAGCCACACUCAGCUUUGGCAUCCAGAAAUCAUCAUUCCUGUUAAAAGACCUUGGACCAGACGUGAAGCUGGCAUAAAUCAGUGCCACUCCAUUGAAGUCAAACAUCAGCUGAGGAACUGGCCCCUGAGAUUUACAGCCAUAAAGAGGGUCUGGACCAUUUUGCAUUGUGCUUGAACAGUUCGAGAUGAGGGAAGAGCAG